rnacentral:rRNA from 1 species
AUCCUGGCUCAGGAUGAACGCUAGCGGCAGGCUUAACACAUGCAAGUCGAGGGGUAUAGUAGCAAUACUAGAGACCGGCGCACGGGUGCGUAACGCGUAUGCAACCUACCUUUUACAGAGGGAUAGCCCAGAGAAAUUUGGAUUAAUACCUCAUGGUAUAUAUCAUUCGCAUGUUUGAUAUAUUAAAGUUCCAACGGUAAAAGAUGGGCAUGCGUCCUAUUAGCUAGAUGGUAAGGUAACGGCUUACCAUGGCAACGAUAGGUAGGGGUCCUGAGAGGGAGAUCCCCCACACUGGUACUGAGACACGGACCAGACUCCUACGGGAGGCAGCAGUGAGGAAUAUUGGACAAUGGGCGCAAGCCUGAUCCAGCCAUGCCGCGUGCAGGAAGAAGCAUCUAUGGUGUGUAAACUGCUUUUGUACGGGAAGAAGCACUCCUUCGUGAAGGAGCUUGACGGUACCGUAAGAAUAAGGAUCGGCUAACUCCGUG